rnacentral:rRNA from 1 species
GACGAACGCUGGCGGCGUGCUUAACACAUGCAAGUCGAACGGAAAGGCCCUGCUCUUGCGGGGUGCUCGAGUGGCGCACGGGUGAGUAACACGUGAGUAACCUGCCCUUGACUUUGGGAUAACUUUAGGAAACUGGGGCUAAUACCGGAUAGGAGCUCCUGCUGCAUGGGGGGGGUUGGAAAGUUUCGGCGGUUGGGGAUGGACUCGCGGCUUAUCAGCUUGUUGGUGGGGUAGUGGCUUACCAAGGCUUUGACGGAUAGCCGACAUGAGAGGGUGACCGGGCACAUUGGGACUGAGGUACGGCGCAGAAUCGUACGGGAGGCAACGGUGGGAAAUAUGACGCAGUGGGCGGAAGCCUGAGGCGACGACGCCGCGUGCGGGAUGACGGCCUUCGGGUUGUGAACCGCUUUCGCAUGUGACGAAGCGUGAGUGACGGUAAUGGGUAAAGAAGCACCGGCUAACUACGUG